CGCGAAUGGCUCAUUACAACAGCUAUAAUUUACUUGAUCUUGACAAUCCUACUUGGAUAACUGUGGUAAUUCUAGAGCUAAUACAUGCACCAAAGCUCUGACCUUACGGGAAGAGUGCAUUUAUUAGAACAAAACCAAGCGGCUUCGGUCGUUUUUUGUUGACUCAGAAUAACUAAGCUGAUCGCAUGGUCUUGUACCGGCGACGUGUCUUUCAAGUAUCUGCCUUAUCAACUUUCGAUGGUAGUGUAUCUGACUACCAUGGUUGUGACGGGUAACGGAGGAUAAGGGUUCGACUCCGGAGAAGGGGCCUGAGAAAUGGCCACUACGUCUAAGGAUGGCAGCAGGCGCGCAAAUUACCCACUCUCAGAACGAGGAGGUAGUGACGAGAAAUAACGAGCCAUCCACCAUUCGGUGGUUGGCAUCGGAAUGAGUACAAUUUAAACCCUUUAACGAGUAUCUAUGAGAGGGCAAGUCUGGCGCCAGCAGCCGCGGUAAUUCCAGCU
rnacentral:rRNA from 1 species